rnacentral:piRNA from 1 species
UCUCAGACCCAACCCAUCCAACUCAGA